UACGUAGGCAGCGAGCGUUGUUCGGAGUUACUGGGCGUAAAGCGUGCGUAGGCGGUGUCUUAAGUUUGUUGUGAAAUCUCCCGGCUUAACCGGGAGGGUGCGGCGAAUACUGAGAUGCUGGAGUGCCGAAGAGGUAAGCGGAAUUCCUGGUGUAGCGGUGAAAUGCGUAGAUAUCAGGAGGAACACCAGUGGCGAAGGCGGCGAUCUGGGCAGAUACUGACGCUGAGGUGCGAAAGCGUGGGGAGCAAACAGG
rnacentral:rRNA from 1 species